AGGCCGGCUGGAAGGUUCUG
rnacentral:misc_RNA from 1 species